CAAAUUUAUUUCAAACAAGCCAAUAGGAAUUAGUUCUGCGACAAGUGACAACAAAAAAGCAAGUCAGAGUUCGGGUCACCGUCCCGGUGUCGUAAGACGUCUUCACUGCACUUUGCUAAUUCAUGCAGUGAAGACGCUGUAUUGAGGAAUCGCUCGCAACGGAGCCGGUACCCCACUCACCCUGACCAUUUAAUUCCGCCUUUCAGAGCAUUCCCAAUUACAACCUGGUGAGAAAACGAGACGCCUACGUACGAGAACAGGCCAAGCUGCGUGCCAAGAUCGACGAAUUCUUUCACCGCACCGAAUCUAGAAUGAUGUUGGACCAAGACACUGCAGGACCGCGGUUUCACGGCAGAGAAGGGCCACCUCCAGCAGCCGUUUAUGAAGAAUUUUGGCCCCGCACAAUUUUCAAAGAGGAACCGUCUCCGGAAAACACCAUGGCGGAUUCUCGCGACAUUAGCUGUCGGAUGAAAACGGGAGCCACCGACCAAGCCACCGAAGCCGCUUCUUACCAGAGCUCCGCACCAUUCACAAUCUCCAAAGAUGCAUACUCAGCCGCUCGGAAUGUGGCUGAUGAUGCCAGCUACCGUGUCAAAGCAAGGGCCGUCACUCGAGCCGUUCAGACUAAUCCACAUCCGACACGACACGCAGUAAAGCACCGGGUGACGUUUGCAUUCGACGCUCCGGUAACGGUGCAGUCAAAACCACCAUGUAGACCUCCAAGACACACGCGCCGUAUAGGUAAGAAGCGUGUGAGAAGGACAAAAUCACCACUCCGUAUGAAAAUUUCCCAGCGGCUUCUACUCAGUGGCGGGGUGAUGUACAAUUCCCCCAACACAGCGUUUCUAUGUCGCUUUGGCAAUAUGGCUCACUAAGCAAAUGUCAAGCAGGUGUUUCCAGAGUGCCAUGAUUGCAUGCGUACCGCCUUUGACGAAAACAACAUUCAUACCGUCAUAUUGUUAUCAAGUGCUAUCGCUUACAACAAUAUGAUUGAAUGAAUGUCGUUAUAACGUGCCACCUGUGAACAAAACCACAAUGAUAAUUUUAUUUUUUUACAAUAUCACUUUAUAGCCCUUGUUAUUAAAGUAGCACUUAGUUACGCAUAUUCGCACAGAGACAACUGACCAUCGAAGGUUCGCGUAUUAUUCACUGGCCCCGUACUAGUUCAUUGAUACUCGCAAUGGCACCCAUAUUACUCUAAUAGUAGUAAAGAUCUAUCAGGAGGGCUGAAAACUGGGAGCCUUGGCGAUACGUUAUGAUUAAGCUGCAGCGCUUACGGGGAUGAGCAGACUUACUGCCCGUUUUCUUCCUAUUCGCCUGUGUUUGUCGGUGUGGGCGAUGCUGGUUGUGAAGUAGUACAAGUUGUUGUUCAAUUAUUUAUAGUGUCAGCUCAUUUCAGCUGCAUUGUUUUGUAAUAUAGAAAAGGUCUUGCAAUCAAUCGUCAAAUAUCUGUCUACCGAGGACCUGCUGGUUUGCCGUCGAGUGUGCCGGGUUUGGAAACGCAUCAUUGAGAGACCCCAGCACUGGCUCCACAUAAAACUCAAGCAUGCGAUCGUCUCCGCCCAGAUUUUCCGCGAAAUGGCAAGAUGGUGCUCAGCCGUCCAGAGCAUAUCGCUUGAAGCUCUUGAAGCGGCUUCUGGGGAUCUCAAGCAAGCGCCAGCCAACGCUAGGGCUCACCUUGAGCACGGUUUCGACGAGCUCCUGAAGGCUUGUUCCAAUACGCUGAAGGUGCUUACAAUCAUCGGCUGCGACAAUGUGCUUACAGACAGGCAAGUUUCUUGGCAAAAGUCACUGCAUAUUUUCAUUAAGAAAUUCCUAAUAUGUAAGUUAUGGCUAAACGGCGCGAUUGAUUGAUUGAUUGAUUGAUUGAUUGAUUGAUUGAUUGAUUGAUUGAUUGAUUGAUUGAUUGA
rnacentral:lncRNA from 1 species